AAGACCUAAAUACCGGGUCCAAGACGGGUAGAAAAUCGAUGAUCGUUGUGAUGUCACACCCCUAAAAAGUCUCCCCCGGAAAGGGAAGAUUUAACACGACAGGCACGGACGGGGUUCGAACCCGUGAUCUUCGGUUUACGAGACCGACGCCUUACCACUUGGCCACCGCGCCUGCGUUAGAAUGGCGGCUCGGCGAGCCUCUAUCCUGGCGCCGCUCCCUUGCGCUCGCGCCGCGAGCACGAGCGCGGGCCCAGCGCGCGCGCCCGCCCGGCUCCGCCCCCUCGCGCUGCCGGCGGGGCGGGGCUCCAGCGUGCGCGCGGGGCUGUCCGGCCGCUCAUGCCUGUCCGAGCCGGGCCCGGGCGGAGUCCGCCGGGUUUUCACUAGCUCUCCAGAACUGGGGAGACUCGUCUGGAGCUCGGGAGCGGGCGGGACGCUCGCCGGCGUUUCAUAGUCUGGGGUUCGAAUCCCAGCUCCGCCAGAGAGACUUGGCGACCUUGGAUGACCGGUCUCGGGGCCUCAGUUUCCCCUCUCGGGUGAGACAUCCAAGAGGCGGAGGAAAGGUUGCGGACCCUUGGGGGCGGUCCACCGCUGCCCUGCACGGAGCUGACGCUCAACAAGAGCUGUUGAAUGAAUGUGUACGUGUAAGUUUUCUGAAGUAAAAACUCCCAAACUCCUCCUCCUCUGAGCCCCGGGGAUGUGCCUGGCCCCAGUACCAGCAGCAGCACCUGGGAGCCGGUUAGAACUGCAGCUUCACCCCCGCUCGUCCCAGACCUGCCGAAUUAGACCAGUUGCUGGAGCCCAGUAAUCUGGGCGGUAACAGGCUCUCCAGGUAUCUGCACCGCCUCCUUCUGAAAAGACAAUACACUUGCCAAAGACCAAUCAUUCAUCUCUGAUUAAAAACUCAGAAUCUCAAAGAACAUCCAAAACAAAAUGAGGGCCUAUGCCUGCUCUCUGGAAACUUGAUGUCUAAUGAGAAGCAAUGUUUUCAGGUAUUGAUCUGCAUGCAUGCAAAACUGCUUCAGUCGUGUCUGAGUCUGUGCGACCCUAAGGACUGUAGCCUGAGAGGCUCCUCUGUCCAUGGGAUUCUCUAGUUUCUUACAGGUGGAACCGUCAUGAAGCUGUUACCAGGCAGAUAGCUGAGGUGACAGAAAUUCUCUGUUACUAAAAGCUAAGACCAUGCUAAUAGCUGUCUGAUGUCCUGACCUACUCAGACAGAAACAGAGAACAGACAACCCAAAUGGGUCAGGUUCCAAUGAAGCUGAGGGGCCAGUCACACUUGCCCUGUAAACUCUGACAAGAGAGUAUAAAGUGUAGCUGCUCCGACUACUUCUGAUGGUUCCAAGUGGGAGACAGGCUGGCAUCACGGGAUGCAGUACAGAAGACAUACAUGGGAUGCAGAAGCAGUAUGGGAGACAUACUGCUUCUACAAGCUGGCAUUAGUUAGUGCUCAUGGUGCUGAAUUCAACUAAUCACUCUUUCUGUACCAGGCCCUGUGCUAGGUGUUAAAGAUACACACCUCUAUUUCAGAUAAUGGUGAUAAAUGCAGUAAAGAAGAUAAUGUUGAAGCAUACAGUCCCUAACAAAUAGAUAUUCAUGAAUGAGAAGAAAUGCUGUAAGAAAAUAUCCAAACA